CCUACGGGUGGCAGCAGUGAGGAAUAUUGGUCAAUGGCCGGAAGGCUGAACCAGCCAUGCCGCGUGAAGGUCAGUGCCCUAUGGGCGUUAAACUUCUUUUGUGCGGGAGCAAUAAUGGUCACGUGUGGCCAGACGAGAGUACCGUACGAAUAAGCAUCGGCUAACUCCGUGCCAGCAGCCGCGGUCAUACGGGGGGUGCAAGCGUUAUCCGGAUUUAUUGGGGUUUAAGGGUGCGUAGGCUGUGAGGUAAGUCAGCGGGGAAAUACCCACGCUCAACGGGGUGAAGUGCCAUUGAUACUGCCUUGCUGGAAUGCGGAUGCCGUGGGAGGAAUGUGUGGUGUAGCGGUGAAAUGCAUAGAUAUCACACAGAACACCGAUUGCGAAGGCAUCUCACGAAUCCGCAAUUGACGCUGAUGCACGAAAGCGUGGGUAUCAAACAGGAUUAGAUACCCCAGUAGUC
rnacentral:rRNA from 1 species